ACAUGCAUGCUUUCAUUAUUUCAUCAUCAUAAUUUCAUUGAACUUUCAUAACCAAAGACAUAUUGCAUGGGCUCAAGGCAUGAAAUUAAAAAAAAAAAAAUUAAAAAAAAAAAUAGGGAAAUCGAUUUACCCAAUUAAGUAAGUCGAUUUCCCCUGCGCAGACAUCAAAAAUAAGCCUUUUUUUGCACAAAGGGUAUUUGGUUCCCCCCACUUUCCCACUUGCUUUCCUUAUAAAUAGAUGCACUAUUC
rnacentral:lncRNA from 1 species